rnacentral:rRNA from 1 species
CCUAACACAUGCAAGUCGAACGGCAGCACAGUAAGAGCUUGCUCUUACGGGUGGCGAGUGGCGGACGGGUGAGGAAUACAUCGGAAUCUACUUUUUCGUGGGGGAUAACGUAGGGAAACUUACGCUAAUACCGCAUACGACCUACGGGUGAAAGCAGGGGAUCUUCGGACCUUGCGCGAUUGAAUGAGCCGAUGUCGGAUUAGCUAGUUGGCGGGGUAAAGGCCCACCAAGGCGACGAUCCGUAGCUGGUCUGAGAGGAUGAUCAGCCACACUGGAACUGAGACACGGUCCAGACUCCUACGGGAGGCAGCAGUGGGGAAUAUUGGACAAUGGGCGCAAGCCUGAUCCAGCCAUACCGCGUGGGUGAAGAAGGCCUUCGGGUUGUAAAGCCCUUUUGUUGGGAAAGAAAUCCAGCUGGUUAAUACCCGGUUGGGAUGACGGUACCCAAAGAAUAAGCACCGGCUAACUUCGUGCCAGCAGCCGCGGUAAUACGAAGGGUGCAAGCGUUACUCGGAAUUACUGGGCGUAAAGCGUGCGUAGGUGGUCGUUUAAGUCUGUUGUGAAAGCCCUGGGCUCAACCUGGGAACUGCAGUGGAAACUGGACGACUAGAGUGUGGUAGAGGGUAGCGGAAUUCCUGGUGUAGCAGUGAAAUGCGUAGAGAUCAGGAGGACACCCAUGGCGAAGGCAGCUACCUGGACCAACACUGAC